rnacentral:siRNA from 1 species
AACAUUUGUGUGAAAUAACCGGU